GAUGAAGAACGUAGCGAAACGCGAUAAGUAGUGUGAAUUGCAGAAUUCAGUGAAUCAUCGAAUCUUUGAACGCACAUUGCGCCCCUUGGUAUUCCAUGGGGCAUGCCUGUUCGAGCGUCAUUUGUACCUUCAAGCUUUGCUUGGUGUUGGGUGUUUGUCCUGAGGGACUCGCCUUAAAGUAAUUGGCAGCCAGUGUUUGGUUUUGAAGCGCAGCACAAGUCGCGAUUCAAAGCUAUACGCCCGCUUCCACAAGCCUUUUUCACUUUUGACCUCGGAUCAGGUAGGGAUACCCGCUGAACUUAAGCAUAUCAAUAAGCGGAGGA
rnacentral:misc_RNA from 1 species